rnacentral:rRNA from 1 species
AGUCACUGACAUUAGAUACCCCCGUAGUCCAGGGUGUAAACGCUGCAGACUUGGUGUUGGAAGCCCUUUGGGGGCAUUCAGUGCCGGAGAGAAGUUGUUAAGUCUGCUACUUGGGAGUUCGUCCGCAAGGAUGAAACUUAAAGGAAUUGGCGGGGGAGCACCGCAACGGGAGGAGCGUGCGGUUUAAUUGGAUUCAACACCGUAAAACUCACCAGGGAAGACUGUUACAUGAAGGCCGAGAUGAAGACUCUGCUAGAUUUUCAG